rnacentral:tRNA from 2 species
CGGGGCGUAGCGCAGCUUGGUAGCGCGCAGCGUUCGGGACGCUGAGGUCGAGAGUUCAAGUCUCUCCGCCCCGACAA